rnacentral:sRNA from 1 species
CCCUGAUAGACUUUUUGUCUCUGAAUUUGCUUAAACCGGAUAUUUCAUGCAGUUCCGGCGAGGGGGGAGCCUCAGCAGGAUUGCUGUGUGAAAACCGAGC